AUGGUGUCAGGGGGACUCAAGACUGAGGUCGGCAGCUCCCACAGUGGAGAUCAGACCUUUGACCUCCUGUCCCUCCCUCACCCCGCAGGUCAGCCCAAGUCUGCGCCCGCGGUCACUCUGUUCCCGCCCUCCUCUGAGGAGCUCAGCGCCAAAAAGGCCACAUUGGUGUGUCUCAUCAAUGACUUCUACCCCGGCGCCGUGACGGUGGCCUGGAAGGCAGAUGGCAUCACCGUCACCCAGGGCGUGGAGACCACCAAGCCCUCGAAACAGAGCAACAACAAGUACGCGGCCAGCAGCUACCUGAGCCUGACGCCUGAGAGCUGGAAAUCUAGGAGCAGCUACAGCUGCCAGGUCACGCACGAGGGGAGCACCGUGGAGAAGACUCUGACCCCCUCACAGUGUUCUUAGGACCCUCAGACCCCUCCAGCUCUUGGAGUUCGGGGGCGGCUACUGCUUAAAGACUCCCAGACUAUCUCUUCUCCCAACUCCCAGUUGGCCUCUCCCUUUAUCCAAAUAACUCUCAAUAAAAUGUGCUAUUGUCAAUCAGA